CCUAGUAAAAUGCCUAACUGGACACUGGCCGAACCUGUUUGCUAGCAGGUAUUCAAAGUGACAGGGAAAGUCCCCGAGGCAAAGUCAUCCUGCUGAGGUUCUCAAAGACAAGGAGAGAAGACAUUGUCUUGAAGAUGCUCUGGUUUGACUUGGCCUUUGGAAGGAAAUAGGCUGACAGAAAGAGAGGGAGGUGAGGCUUUUUUGAACACAGACAUAAACAUCUUGGGAUGGUUUGCUGCUGGAAUAAUAUCUCUGCUCCCAGUCAUCAUUGUCAUAGGAAAUAAUGCAGUGGCCCUUAUGUCCUCGUUCGUCAUGAACUUGGAUGUCUGGGAGCAACUGGGCUGCGCUGAGCUCUGGAACCAGUGGUGUCGGCCACGGACAUCCUGCACG